UGGGGAAUAUUGCACAAUGGAGGGAACUCUGAUGCAGCGACGCCGCGUGAACGAAGAAGGCUUUCGAGUCGUAAAGUUCUUUUAUAUGGGAAGAUAAUGACGGUACCAUAAGAAGAAGCCCCGGCUAACUACGUGCCAGCAGCCGCGGUAAUACGUAGGGGGCUAGCGUUGUCCGGAAUCACUGGGCGUAAAGGGUUCGCAGGCGGAAAUGCAAGUCAGGUGUAAAAGGCAGUAGCUUAACUACUGUAAGCAUUUGAAACUGCAUAUCUUGAGAAGAGUAGAGGUAAGUGGAAUUGUUAGUGUAGCGGUGAAAUGCGUAGAUAUUAAAAAGAAUACCGGUGGCGAAGGCGACUUACUGGGCUCAGUCUGACGCUGAGGAACGAAAGCGUGGGUAGCAAACAGG
rnacentral:rRNA from 1 species